AAAAAAGUGAAUGACGACAUGUCGUAGUCCAGUGAUUGGGCCGGCCCACCAUUGACCCAAGACGGCUGAUUUUGCGCUCUCCUUGAACGCCCUUUAGCAAAUUAGGGCAACAACGAAACCCUCUUGGUGCGAUUCCGCCGCCUCGCUGCUGUUUAAGACCCGAUGGCCUCCCCGUCCACCUCACAACCAUCAUCUUCCUCCUCGGCAAGUGUUUACGCAAAUCCUCCUCGCUUCCUCUCGAUGGAAGGCUACAUUAAAUUGGUAUGGGCUUAAUGUCGGGGCGAAAAGACGGGUGAAGGAUAGCCCAUGGGUCUCAAUCACGUUGAAAUCACCAAAAAGCCCAUGAAAGGGGCCAGUUUUGGUUAAUUGCAGCUAAGGUGGGAUGUGCUGUCCACGUGUCACCAUCUACAGUAGCCAUCCAUUAAAAGCAUUUUUGGUUUGUUCUUCUCUAGUCUCUCGUGGAUAAUGUCCGUUUUACCCUUGACUCAUUUCCAAAACAAAAAUGUCGUUUUUA